CGAGCAGGGUCGAAAGACGGACUUAGUGAUCCGGUGGUUCCGCAUGGAAGGGCCAUCGCUCAACGGAUAAAAGCUACCCCGGGGAUAACAGGCUUAUCUCCCCCAAGAGUUCACAUCGACGGGGAGGUUUGGCACCUCGAUGUCGGCUCAUCGCAUCCUGGGGCUGUAGUCGGUCCCAAGGGUUGGGCUGUUCGCCCAUUAAAGCGGUACGCGAGCUGGGUUCAGAACGUCGUGAGACAGUUCGGUCCCUAUCCGUCGUGGGCGUAGGAAAUUUGAGAGGAGCUGUCCUUAGUACGAGAGGACCGGGAUGGACAUACCUCUGGUGUACCAGUUGUCGUGCCAACGGCAUAGCUGGGUAGCUAUGUGUGGACGGGAUAAGUGCUGAAAGCAUCUAAGCAUGAAGCCCCCCUCAAGAUGAGAUUUCCCAACUUCGGUUAUAAGAUCCCUCAAAGAUGAUGAGGUUAAUAGGUUCGAGGUGGAAGCAUGGUGACAUGUGGAGCUGACGAAUACUAAUCGAUCGAAGACU
rnacentral:rRNA from 1 species